ACGAAGACAAUAACAUAUUGAGAAACGACAAUGCAAUGCCGCAAGAGAUAAAAAGUAGAGGUGCGCAAGCGAGUAAAAGAAAAGGAGAAGCAGAGAAAAAGGAGAAGAGAUAAAGCGAGAUCAAAAACUGAAUGGUGUGAAGAGUCUGCGGUCUAUUUAAAAUGAAAUGGGGCGUUGGUGUUUCAAGGGAUUCGACGUCUAUGAAGCUGAAAAGAUUGACGUUUUGGUUUCCUGUCAGGGUAGUUCAAGUUGGUGCCUCUCACAACCGAUGUCUAAAACCCUCAAAUUUGGUGAAAAUAUAGGAACUUUUUGGUUACGGUGUUAACUUUGUUAACGGUAGAGCUGCCCA
rnacentral:lncRNA from 1 species